rnacentral:rRNA from 1 species
GCACCGGCUAACUACGUGCCAGCAGCCGCGGUAAUACGUAGGGUGCAAGCGUUAAUCGGAAUUACUGGGCGUAAAGCGUGCGCAGGCGGUUGUGCAAGACAGAUGUGAAAUCCCCGGGCUUAACCUGGGAAUUGCAUUUGUGACUGCACGGCUAGAGUGUGUCAGAGGGGGGUAGAAUUCCACGUGUAGCAGUGAAAUGCGUAGAUAUGUGGAGGAAUACCGAUGGCGAAGGCAGCCCCCUGGGAUAACACUGACGCUCAUGCACGAAAGCGUGGGGAGCAAACAGGAUUAGAUACCCUGGUAGUCCACGCCCUAAACGAUGUCUACUAGUUGUCGGGUCUUAAUUGACUUGGUAACGCAGCUAACGCGUGAAGUAGACCGCCUGGGGAGUACGGUCGCA